rnacentral:rRNA from 1 species
GUGGGGAAUAUUGCACAAUGGGCGAAAGCCUGAUGCAGCGACGCCGCGUGAGGGAUGAAGGCCUUCGGGUUGUAAACCUCUUUCAGCUCCGACGAAGAGUGAUUGACGGUAGGAGCAGAAGAAGCGCCGGCCAACUACGUGCCAGCAGCCGCGGUAAGACGUAGGGCGCGAGCGUUGUCCGGAUUUAUUGGGCGUAAAGAGCUCGUAGGCGGCUUGUCGCGUCGACUGUGAAAACCCGCGGCUCAACCGUGUGGUCUGCAGUCGAUACGGGCAGGCUAGAGUUCGGUAGGGGAGACUGGAAUUCCUGGUGUAGCGGUGAAAUGCGCAGAUAUCAGGAGGAACACCGGUGGCGAAGGCGGGUCUCUGGGCCGAUACUGACGCUGAGGAGCGAAAGCGUGGGGAGCGAACAGGAUUAGAUACCCGAGUAGUCC